rnacentral:rRNA from 1 species
GGCCUAAAGCGUCCGUAGCUGGCCGCACAAGUCUAUCGGGAAAUCUGCGUGCUUAACGCGCAGGCGUCCGGUGGAAACUGUGUGGCUUGGGACCGGAAGAUCCAGAGGGUACGUCUGGGGUAGGAGUGAAAUCCUGUAAUCCUGGACGGACCGCCGGUGGCGAAAGCGCUCUGGAAGGACUGAUCCGACGGUGAGGGACGAAAGCUCGGGUCACGAACCGGAUUAGAUACCCGGGUAGUCCGAGCUGUAAACGAUGUCUGCUAGGUGUGACACUGGCUACGAGCCAGUGUUGUGCCGUAGGGAAGCCGUGAAGCAGACCGCCUGGGAAGUACGUCCGCAAGGAUGAAACUUAAAGGAAUUGGCGGGGGAGCACUACAACCGGAGGAGCCUGCGGUUUAAUUGGACUCAACGCCGGACAUCUCACCAGCAUCGACAACGUGCCGUGAAGGUCAGUGUGAUGAGCUUACUUGGAGCCGUUGAGAGGAGGUGCAUUGGCCGCCGUCAGCUCGUACCGUGAGGCGUCCUGGUAAGUCAGGCAACGAGCGAGACCCGCACUCCUAAUUGCCAGCAACACCCUUGUUGUGGUUGGGUACAUUAGGAGGACUGCCAGUGCCAUACUGGAGGAAGGAACGGGCAACGGUAGGUCAGUAUGCCCCGAAUGUGCUGGGCGACACGCGGGCUACAAUGGCCACGACAGUGGGAUGCAACCCCGAAAGGGGGCGCUAA